rnacentral:rRNA from 1 species
AUGGCGGCGCGCGGGCAGGGUCUGGAGCAAGAUUUCGAUUUCUUCGUGGUGGUCGACUUCGAGGCGACGUGCGUGAAAGACGGGCGGAUCUUCCCGCAGGAAAUCAUCGAGUUCCCCGCGGUGCUCGUCGACGGCGCCACCGGCCGCAUCGAGUCCGCGUUUCGCAGGUACGUUCGUCCCAAACAUCACCCUGUGCUGACCGAAUUUUGCAGGGAGCUCACCGGCAUCCGGCAGGAGGACGUCGACGGCGGCGUGGAACUCGGCGACGCGCUCUGGCUGCACGAUUCUUGGCUGAAGGCGGCGACGGCGGGAGCAGGGAACAAGGCGUCCGCUUGGCCGUGGGCAGGGCGGGUCAACCUGCAGGAGGCGGUCCGGGCGGCGGGGCUGGACUGGGAGGGCCGCCUGCACUGUGGGCUGGACGAUGCGCUCAACACGGCGCGGCUGCUUGCUGAGAUCAUGCGGCGCGGGGUCAAGAUCACCAUCACCGGCUCGCUGGCGCCGCCGCCGCCGAUCCAGCAGAAGCAGCAGCCUGGCGCAAGCCCUUGCGGUGGCUCACCGGCGCUGGCGCCGCCACCGAUCCAGCAGCAGCCGCCUCGCACAGGCCCUUGCAGUGGCACAUUUGCGCCGGUGCCGGCGCAGGCGCCGAUCCAGCAGAAGCAGCAGCAGCCGCCGCAGCCUCACAUAAUCAGCCCCUGCGGUGGCUCCUCCGCGACGUGCUUCUCGUACUGCGGGGUGGCGACCAGAGGAGCCAUGGAGCCAGGGCCGAUGCCGUCUGGAUGCGCCAACUGGACGCCGGCCAUGGGACCUUACUUUCUGUGGAGCAACUGA